AUGGGCGCACGGGAGUACUCUCCCCUCAAAGUACGCCACCGGUUAGGUUUAACGUAAGAUGGCUUUGUGUUGUGCGAGAGUGGCAAGAAUCGGGUCAGAUUUCGCCGGGACGCAGCUCGAUUGCCUUUCGUGCAGAGGAACCUUCGACUAGGGUUCGUACGAUGCCCAAAACCUUACAGUCCACAAGAGCUAUUUCGAACAGCACUCUACGAGAAUUGUUGGAGAAUUGGAUGUAACUCUAUAAACUCCUAUAUUAUCUCCUAUCGCAGAAUACCUAGUUUGAACUCCUACUCGAAAUCGAAAGAAGGGAAGGAUGUGGGAUUACCGAUGUCACGAUUGGAAUUAGGAAAGGAAGCCUCUGUCCCAACUUUCUUUCCAGACUUGUAAAAAAGGAAAUUCCCACGGCUUCCGCGGAGAGACUCGGCUUGUGAGCUCCUUCUCCAAUGGAACCUACUGUGUAUACUCUUGCUUCACUGGAAGACUCGCUCGCUCUGUUGGUGUAGGUCUUACCUUUCUUGAUCCCUUGGUACUUGACCCCUCUUCAUUCUUAGCUUCCAUUCCAAAAACUGCACUCUUUCGGUCACCUUCCACAAUGGGCUUUCAAUCCGCUAUCUCCGCAUUGCUUCUGUAAACUCCGGUAUAGUUCCCCUCCCCUUUAG